CGCGCGCCGCAAAACUCGCACAAAAUUCGACGACGUUGACGCGCGCGCGCGCUCUCCGACUCCGGACGACGUCGGUUUGUGGACUCGCGUAGGACGGGGUGGGGAACGGCCGAGGAGACGAAAUUAGAAAACCGUCGACGUGAGGAUGCCGUCGUCGGACGGUUUUUGAUCGAGCUGUAGCCGUCCGCGAGAAGCACGGAGUUGAACAACGUGUAUUGUUAUGAUUACACGUGUAACGUGCUAGCGCGGGGCGAAUUACAGGGACCGAGAAGUAUGAACUACAAAAAUGUGGGGUGACUAGUGUUAAGACUACGGGCGAUAAUGUCAAAUAAUAUUAUGUCGUCGACGAGCGGGAGAGCGAACUUUAGUGCAAAACAACGUCCGUCUACGGUCGUACGACACCGCCGUAGGACGUGUUUGUGUGUGUGUUACAAACUUACAACGGUACAAGUCGUACGGCUGUUGUACACGAGCGGACAGCGGCGUACGCGCAAGAGCGCCGGUCGCGAAAAUUAAUUUUGACCCAGUGCCGCCCGCUCAGACGCCGCCGAAUUGUGAGUGGCGCGCCGUAAUAAUGCUGGCGCCGGUGACACUGCAGUAAAACCACCGACGCGGGACGUUUGGCACAUUUUUCUUUUUUUAAUUUUUUUUUUUUUAUAAAAUUUCCAUCCCACACGGCCUCGAUGUCGUAUGUCCGUUCGUUUGAGUCGAGGGGUGCGGGUGACGCGACGCUAUUUAUUGACUAUUGAUACAAUAUUGAAAAAUAACAAUUUUCCGAGAAAAAAAUUCACUAGAAAAAGAAAUUAACUAGUUACUACUUGAAACAGCUACAACAACAAUUAUUCAAAUCUCCACAACACAAAUCAAAUAAGUUCUGCAGUAUUGUAUUUACUAUAAUAAAUUAUUGAUUUAAAAAGAAGAAUUUUGAGUGAUUUAACACUAAUGUACGAUGAAGAACUAACAAGGAUCAACGAUAUGAUUGAUAUAGGGAUGUGCUAGAGUCUCUUAGAAGAUUAUGAUCUAUUUGAAAAAACUCACGCCUUUCAAACUCAACAUAGAUAACCUAAUAACCUUGUAACCCCAUUGUAAUAGAAAUUCAACUAAGAAAUACAAAUAUACAAUUAAAUAGAAGUGGUUGAAUUUGAAGUGUAUGCACAAGUAUAUUUCUAGUUAUUAUCUCCUACUUCUAUUUAUAGUAUUGUUUGUUAUGACAUGUGAAUGAACAUUAAAUAUGAGUGAAUAUUUUAUGUUUAUAAUCAUAUUAUAUUUCUUAUAUUUAUGCUUUGUCCUAGUUUAAUAUUAAUUGUUUAAACAUAUAUGAGUGAAUUUAAUAAACAAUAUAACUAUCUUUCUAUAAGACAAUAAUAUUGCAUUGUACGAUUUUGGUACCUUAAAUUUAUUAUAUAAGUAAAUUAAGUAAUAUAAUAUGUGUGUGAAUUCUUAAUACUUUAAUUUUGAUCAGGAAAUGUUUUUAACAAGUAUGAAUAAUUAUGUAAUAAGUUACUCAAAAUAGUAUAAAUCAUUAGGCAAUAAAAUGUUUGAAAUUUUAAUGGUUUUUUUCUUAAGAGAUAAUAUAUUUUAUACUUGCAAGUGUUAAGGUGUAUUUAUGGAUGUUUAAUGUUUAUAGCAGUCCUGAUAGAAGUAUGAAAUAUGAAGACAUUUAUAUUGAUAAAGAGUAACUGUGUGAAAAUAAAUGUAACUUUAAGUGAAUUUAUAUGUUGUUUAAAUUAAUAUCUUUGUUUAUAAAAUGCACUGACAAACAUUAUAGACAAAAAGGAAAGACAGAUGAACUGAGAGACUUUUUCAGCUUCUAAAAAGCUUUUUUUUUUAAAAAAAAAAAAUGAAGGUCAUGGGCUAUUUCUAUUAUUUUCAUGUGGCCAAUAACCUGUCGUCGGCUGCCGAUAGAAAUAUGAAUUAGUUAAUAUGUAAUAGUAUGGGUAUUUUUGAUUAUUUUGAUUAUUUGUUAAGUCAUACUUGUUAAAUAUUCUGUUUUUAUAUAUUUUUAAAUAUAACUAAUUAACUAUAUUAUUUUGUAAUACAAAUAUAUUAUUUAAGUACUUUACAUAAUAGUUCAUUGGAUAAAGUUAUGUUAUACUUAUAAUAUAUUUAUAUGAUUUAUAUUAAUUUGUCAUAGCCAGCAAAGAAGAGCUUCUAGAGAAACUGUGAUAAUAAUAUCCUACAUUAACUACCUAAUAUAGAUUAUCCCUGUGUUGUCAAUUGGGCAGUCUCUUCGUUCAAGGCGCACACCUGUAAAUUCAAAUAUUAUAUCUUUUCCUUUUUUAUUGUACUAAGAAUGUACAAAUAGUUGAAUUUUUCAAAUAAAAAAAUACUGAGUACUUAACAUUAUCUGAUAUGUAUAUAUA